rnacentral:rRNA from 1 species
GGCUCAGAACGAACGCGGGCGGCGUGCCUAACACAUGCAAGUCGAGCGCGAAAAGGGCAACCUGAGUAGAGCGGCGCACGGGUGCGUAACACGUGGGUAAUCUGCCCUUGAGUCUGGGAUAACCUUCCGAAAGGUUGGCUAAUACCGGAUAAGCUCACGGGGACUUCGGUCUCUGUGGGAAAAGUAGGCCACUGUUUACAAGCUUACACUCGAGGAUGAGCCCGCGGCCCAUCAGCUAGUUGGCGGGGUAACGGCCCACCAAGGCUACGACGGGUAGCUGGUCUGAGAGGACGAUCAGCCACACUGGAACUGAGACACGGUCCAGACUCCUACGGGAGGCAGCAGUGGGGAAUUUUCCACAAUGGGCGAAAGCCUGAUGGAGCAACGCCGCGUGUGUGAUGAAGGUCUUCGGAUCGUAAAGCACUUUCGACCGGGACGAAAAACCUGGCGCUAACAUCGCCAGGCCUGACGGUACCGGGAGAAGAAGCACCGGCUAACUCUGUGCCAGCAGCCGCGGUAAUACAGAGGGUGCAAGCGUUGUUCGGAAUUAUUGGGCGUAAAGCGCGUGUAGGCGGCUUGUCAAGUCGGGUGUGAAAGCCCUCAGCUCAACUGAGGAAGUGCGCCUGAAACUGACGAGCUUGAGUGCCUGAGAGGGUGGCGGAAUUCCGCAAGUAGAGGUGAAAUUCGUAGAUAUGCGGAGGAACACCGGUGGCGAAGGCGGCCACCUGGCAGGUAACUGACGCUGAGACGCGAAAGCGUGGGGAGCAAACAGGAUUAGAUACCCUGGUAGUCCACGCCGUAAACGAUGAGAACUAGGUGUCGUGGGUGUUGACCCCUGCGGUGCCGAAGCUAACGCAUUAAGUUCUCCGCCUGGGAAGUACGGCCGCAGGGUUAAACUUUAAU